rnacentral:rRNA from 1 species
AAGCUUGCUUCUCUUGAGAGCGGCGGACGGGUGAGUAAUGCCUAGGAAUCUGCCUGGUAGUGGGGGAUAACGUUCGGAAACGGACGCUAAUACCGCAUACGUCCUACGGGAGAAAGCAGGGGACCUUCGGGCCUUGCGCUAUCAGAUGAGCCUAGGUCGGAUUAGCUAGUUGGUGGGGUAAUGGCUCACCAAGGCGACGAUCCGUAACUGGUCUGAGAGGAUGAUCAGUCACACUGGAACUGAGACACGGUCCAGACUCCUACGGGAGGCAGCAGUGGGGAAUAUUGGACAAUGGGCGAAAGCCUGAUCCAGCCAUGCCGCGUGUGUGAAGAAGGUCUUCGGAUUGUAAAGCACUUUAAGUUGGGAGGAAGGGCAGUAAAUUAAUACUUUGCUGUUUUGACGUUA